UGGGGAAUUUUGGACAAUGGGGGAAACCCUGAUCCAGCCAUCCCGCGUGUGCGAUGAAGGCCUUCGGGUUGUAAAGCACUUUUGGCAGGAAAGAAACGUCGCGGGUUAAUACCCCGCGAAACUGACGGUACCUGCAGAAUAAGCACCGGCUAACUACGUGCCAGCAGCCGCGGUAAUACGUAGGGUGCAAGCGUUAAUCGGAAUUACUGGGCGUAAAGCGUGCGCAGGCGGUUCGGAAAGAAAGAUGUGAAAUCCCAGAGCUUAACUUUGGAACUGCAUUUUUAACUACCGGGCUAGAGUGUGUCAGAGGGAGGUGGAAUUCCGCGUGUAGCAGUGAAAUGCGUAGAUAUGCGGAGGAACACCGAUGGCGAAGGCAGCCUCCUGGGAUAACACUGACGCUCAUGCACGAAAGCGUGGGGAGCAAACAGGAUUAGAUACCCUGGUAGUCCACGCCCUAAACGAUGUCAACUAGCUGUUGGGGCCUUCGGGCCUUGGUAGCGCAGCU
rnacentral:rRNA from 1 species